rnacentral:rRNA from 1 species
CCUACGGGUGGCUGCAGUGAGGAAUAUUGGUCAAUGGCCGUAAGGCUGAACCAGCCAAGUCGCGUGAGGGAUGAAGGACCUCUGGAUUGUAAACUUCUUUUAUAGGGGAAUAAAGGUAUCCACGUGUUGCUAUUUGCGUGUACCCUAUGAAAAAGCAUCGGCUAACUCCGUGCCAGCAGCCGCGGUAAUUCGGAGGGUUCGAGCGUUAUCCGGAUUUAUUGGGUUUAAAGGGCGCGUAGGUGGUUUUUUAAGUCAGCGGUUAAAGUUUGUGGCUCAACCAUAAAACGGCCGUUGAAACUGGAAAACGUGAGUGUGUGAGAGGUAUGCGGAAUGCGUGGUGUAGCGGUGAAAUGCAUAGAUAUCACGCAGAACUCCGAUUGCGAAGGCAGCAUAC